AAGUCGUAACAAGGUUUCCGUAGGUGAACCUGCGGAAGGAUCAUUAUCGAGUUUUGAAGUGGGCUUGAUGCUGGCUUCUCUGGAAGUAUGUGCUCAGCCCCGCUCUCAAAUCCACUCAACACCUGUGCACUUUCAAAGUCAUGUAGUCCUCCGUUAUGGGAGCCGUGGGUCUUGCGAUCCACUGGGACUGCUGCUUUGCCCCUUCAUCACAAACUAUAUUGCAUUGUCCUGUAGAAUGUGUAUGCCUCUUAGUGAGGUGAAAUUUAAUACAACUUUCAACAACGGAUCUCUUGGCUCUCGCAUCGAUGAAGAACGCAGCGAAAUGCGAUAAGUAAUGUGAAUUGCAGAAUUCAGUGAAUCAUCGAAUCUUUGAACGCACCUUGCGCUCCUUGGUAUUCCGAGGAGCAUGCCUGUUUGAGUGUCGCUAAAUCAUCAACUCCCCCCUUUGCUAUUGUGUGAAGGUGGUGAGCUUGGAUUUGGGGAUCUGCUGGCUUCACCGUCGGCUUCCCUUGAAUGCAUUAGCUGGAUCUAUGAUUUGCAGCAUAUAUGCGGUGUGAUAAUGUCUUCACUGCAUUGCUCAGAUUUGUCCGGCUUCUAAUAGUCCCUUCAUUGGGACAACUUUGAUCAUUCAGACCUCAAAUCAGGUAGGACUACCCGCUGAACUUAA
rnacentral:rRNA from 1 species